CUCUGGGAGAUGCUAGGAUAAGAUCUACUUCUUCAGAGGGGACCAAAUUGUAGGAGUUGCACAUUAAUUUUUCCUGCUUUUCCUUGUUCAUUUUUAUAUUAACUCUAAAAAAGAAAAGAAACUAUACAGAUAGAAGCUUUUUCUAUGUGCUCCUUACUUAUUCUCAGAAUGUACUUAUGCUCUGAGUGAGAGAAGGUCCUUUGGAGAAAAAUAGCCUGCAAUCGUAAUGAAAGUUGUAUUUGUUAUUGUCCCUAUCCUGCUGAGGAUGCUGUGAUAGACUGUGCUAGAAAUCUUGCUGACAUCAGGAUAAAUGACAUCCAUUGCUUUCCACUGUUUUGCAGACCCCGUCACUUCAUUGAGGAAGACAGACUGAAUGGAUAUCAGAAGUUACAUGUGAUGUCCACGUGAGUACACAAGAAGAAACAAGAUACUUCUUUGAACCAGGGACAUGAGACAAGCUGGAUCUGUGUUGAAACAACAAAAAACCUCCGCUGAAUGGAUACACACUGUCCCAUGCAUGCAGAUUGGAGACCCUGGCCAGACUCAGACUGAUUGGUCACUCAACUUGAAGUGAAACCUUGUAUCAU